AACGUAGGACGCGAGCGUUAUCCGGAGUUACUGGGCGUAAAGGGCGGGCAGGCGGCUAGUUAAGUCUGAUGUGAAAGCUCCCGGCUUAACCGGGAGAGGCCAUUGGAAACUGGCGAGCUGGAGGGCAGCAGAGGUGUGUGGAAUUUCGGGUGGAGUGGUGAAAUGCGUAGAGAUCCGGAGGAACACCAGAGGCGAAGGCGGCACACUGGGCUGCUCCUGACGCUGAACCGCGAAAGCCAGGGGAGCGAACAGG
rnacentral:misc_RNA from 1 species